ensembl:lncRNA
AUUAUCAUUUUAAUAGUAACAUCAGUAUGGCAGGAACAUGUCAUUAGUCUUAAGAGCAAAGUACGAAUCGGGUUUUAUUUCUUCCAUCUUAAGCAAGGCGACAUCACUCCGUUUGCAUUCAGACGGUGAUUACAUGUCUAAUGAAAACUAUCUCAGUUGAAUUUCCAAAGUAAAUGCAAUUUAAAUAUCUAUUUAUCUGUCUUUGAGAGUGGCUUUGAGCUAUUAGUUCAUGUGAACAGGUCUGGCCUGUUAAUUUUCUGCCUCUCCUUGAGCUCAGACGCAGUCGGGGAGGGACAACGUUCCCCCAACGCCACCCUCAAACUCAGCAGUGGAGAUGAAUAAUGCAGUCAGACCAACCCCCGUCACACACACACACACACACACACACGGGUGGCAGGGCCUGGAGCGCCGCAGGUUCAAGUGUAUGCACUUGAGGGGCACCGCCAGUAUCAGCGCACAAUUAUCUGGGUCCCGGGGUCUCUUCCUGAUUGGACUGGACUUUACGGCUGCUGGGACUUUUGCUUAAAACUCUUAACAAACAGAGGAAAAAGCAGAUGCAUUGUCAGAAGAGGCACAAAAUGCAACAAAUCCCCCCUCACUGCUAACCGUGAUCUUCCUGACACUCUGAGACAGGCGGCCCAGCUGGGACUCUACCCAGGAUCGCGUCUCUUUCAUGGGCAAACGCUGUUUCACCUGCUCCCCCUCCCAUCACAAAUCCCACAAUCCUCCCCCCGUCUCCCCAGCCCCUCCAACCGUCCCAGCUGAGCUUUGCUAAUCAGUAUGGCGAUGAGAGACAAGACUUGGUUAAUUCGGCCAAUUAGGCCCGAGCGUUGUUUGUGGCCAGCGACAUUUUGUAUUCGUGAAAAUGUGUGGAGNNNNNNNNNNNNNNNNNNNCUUCAGUGUCACAUGAUCCUUCAGAAAUCAUUCUAAUAUGUUCUUAUUAUGAUCAAUAUUAAAAAG